rnacentral:rRNA from 1 species
GACGAACGCUGGCGGCGUGCUUAACACAUGCAAGUCGAACGGAAAGGCCCUGCUUUUGUGGGGUGCUCGAGUGGCGAACGGGUGAGUAACACGUGAGUAACCUGCCCUUGACUUUGGGAUAACUUCAGGAAACUGGGGCUAAUACCGGAUAGGAGCUCCUGCUGCAUGGUGGGGGUUGGAAAGUUUCGGCGGUUGGGGAUGGACUCGCGGCUUAUCAGCUUGUUGGUGGGGUAGUGGCUUACCAAGGCUUUGACGGGUAGCCGGCCUGAGAGGGUGACCGGCCACAUUGGUACUGAGAGACGGCCCAGAGUGCUACGGGAGGCAGCAGUGGGGAAUAUUGCACAAUGGGCGGAAGUCUGAUGCAGAAGCGCCGCGUGUGGAAUGACGGCCUUCGGGGUGUAAACCGCUGUCGCCUGUGACGAAGCGUGAGUGACGGUAAUGGGUAAAGAAGCACCGGCUAACUACGUG